AUGAAGAAACUCCCGGGAGUGUCUUUGGUGAUUCUGUGGCUUCAUCUGGCCAGGGUGAGCAGCCAAAAAGGACAACAGAGUCUCCAGACCCUGAGCAUCCAGGAAGGUGAAAAUGCCACUGUGAACUGCAGUUAUGAAGUGACUAUAACCAACUUGCAGUGGUACAGGCAAGAUUCAGGGAGAGGCCUUACCCACCUAAUUUCAAUAUUUUCAAAUAAGAAAAAGGAAGAAGACGGGAGACUUCAAGUCACGCUUGACACCGCCAAAAAAAGCAGUUCCCUGCUCAUCCCGGCCGCCCGGGCUGCAGACUCUGCUGCUUACUUCUGCGCUGUGGACGCACAGUGCUCCCCAGGCACCUGCAGCCACGACACAAACCACCAGAGCUGCCUUUUAGCGGCCCCCUCCGUGGGCUGGGUUGGUGGUUAUGUCUUCCCAUGA